AACGAACGCUGGCAGCGUGGAUUAGGCAUGCAAGUCGAACGAGAACCUAUUGAUUCAAUCUUUCGGGAGAGAAACUUUAGGGGAGAGUGGCGAAAGGGUGAGUAACGCGUGGGUAACCUACCUUGAAGUUCGGGAUAACUCGGCGGAAGCUGGGCUAAUACCGAAUGUGGUUGUCUUCCGCAUGGCGGACAGAUUAAAGACGGGGAUUCUUCGGAACCUGUCGCUUCAUGAGGGGCCCGCGUCCUAUCAGCUUGUUGGUGAGGUAAAAGCUCACCAAGGCUUACGGGUAGCUGGUCUGAGAGGAUGGUCAGCCACACUGGGACUGAGACACUGCCCAGACUCCUACGGGAGGCUGCAGUCGAGGAUCAUUCGCAAUGCGCGAAAGCGUGACGAUGCGACGCUGCGUGGGGGAUGACGGCCUUCGGGUUGUAAACCCCUGUCAUUCGGGAACAACAAUUUGAGUGUUAAUAGCACUUGGACCUGAUAGUACCGAAAGAGGAAGCCACGGCUAACUCUGUGCCAGCAGCCGCGGUAAUACAGAGGUGGCGAGCGUUGUUCGGAUUUACUGGGCGUAAAGGGUGCGCAGGUGGUUCUGUGUGUCGGAUGUGAAAUGUCACCGCUCAACGGUGAAAGGACAUUCGAAACUGCAGGACUAGAGUGCAGGAGAGGAGAGCGGAAUUCUUGGUGUAGCGGUGGAAUGCGUUGAUAUCAAGAAGAACACCGGUGGCGAAGGCGGCUCUCUGGAAUGUAACUGACACUGAGGCACGAAAGUUGGGGUAGCGAACAGGAUUAGAUACCCUGGUAGUCCCAACCGUAAACGUUGUGUACUUGGUGUGGGGAGAUUUGACCCUUCCCGUGCCGGAGCUAACGCGUUAAGUACACCGCCUGGGGAGUACGGCCGCAAGGCUAAAACUCAAAGAAAUUGACGGGGGCCCGCACAAGCGGAGGAGCAUGUGGCUCAAUUCGAUGCAACGCGAAGAACCUUACCAGGGCUUGACAUGGGGACCCUUCGGGGGUGGUAGUGAAAGCUACCUUUACCAUCACAGGUGCUGCAUGGCUGUCGUCAGUUCGUGCCGUGAGGUGUUGGGUUAAGUCCCGCAACGAACGCAACCCCUGUGUUUAGUUGCUAGCGUGGGUGUUAAGCCUGCGCGCACUCUAGACAGACCGCCCGUGUAAGCGGGAGGAAGGUGGGGAUGACGUCAAGUCAGUAUGGCCCUUAUGCCCUGGGCUGCACACGUGCUACAAUGGCCGGUACAGUGGGAAGCAAGACCGCGAGGUGGAGCCAAUCCCCAAAACCGGCCUCAGUUCGGAUUGGAGUCUGCAAUUCGACUCCAUGAAGUUGGAUUCGCUAGUAAUGCCGUAUCAGCUACGACGGCGUGAAUACGUUCCCGGGCCUUGUACACACCGCCCGUCACAUCAUGAAAGCUUUGUGCACUCGAAGUCGCUGUACCAACUUUUACGAGAGGAAGGCGCCGAAGGUGUGUGGAGUGAUUGGGAUG
rnacentral:rRNA from 1 species